AGAAAGAAAGAAAGAAAGAAAAAAAUCCAAAAAUAGAUACAUCUAUAGAUACCAAGAGAUAUAAAGACAAGCAACAGUAAAACGACAAUGCAGAUACAUGAAUUACCUUCUACUCUACACCCAAAAGGAAGAAACAAUGUGGAUGAAAUUGAAGGGUCUGGAAGAAGAAGGCUAACUUGAAAUGCAGGGCUUAUUAGGAAGAGAGGCUACUAGAAAACAACAAAACAAUAAUACUAAAUGAUUUGCAUGGCGGCAAUAUGGUUUUGAUAUUGGUUUGUUCAAAGUUCAAACAGAAAUUCAAAAGGAGGCCAUAUAGAAUUCAAGAAUAAUGGCUUGCUUAAAAGCAAAUUAAGCGUGUGCAAUGGUGCUUUAGCUGAUGAUGGUACAUGAUAUUGUUGGUUGACUGACUUUAUCAUUAUCUCUUAAUCAGAAUUAUAAAUCCUAAUAAAAUCAAAUUCUACCAACAAUAAUUGAGCUCUGAGCCAUUUUGUUCCAAGGGACAAAUGCAUCCCAUCUCCAUAACAACUUUCUUCCAAACUACAAACGCUAGAAGUGUUUCAGAAAUAACUAGAUAAAUAAAAUACGCUAAUUAAAAAAAAAAAACCUGAUCAUCAUCCUUGAUCCCAAA
rnacentral:misc_RNA from 1 species